rnacentral:lncRNA from 1 species
CUAUCCGGCACUGCCACAAGUCUCAACAGCCAAAUCAUUAUGUGUAAACAAGUGAUCCAACAUGAAUUACAUUUACAUACUCUUAACAUCAACUGAACUGAAUUCCCCAAAAACUUCCCCUUUUGACAGGGAGAACCACUCAACUUAAUGACCUUGUUUCAAGAAAUGCUAACUGCUCGUGAACACUCCUCUCCCCUACCUCUCCUCUUCAAACCCCCCUACCCGUGUG